rnacentral:tRNA from 1 species
GGGUGAGUAGCGAAGUGGCCAAACGCAGCAGACUGUAAAUCUGUUACCUCGCGUUUCGGGGGUUCGAAUCCCUCCUCACCCACCA